AUGGAAUCAAGAUACCUUCAAAAGUGCCUGGGGACAUGCCUUACUCAAGGUCUCACGGAAGUUGCAAGAGUUCGCCCAUUGGAUCCAAUUGAAUUUUUAGCCUUGUGGAUUUAUAAGCACAAGGAAAACGUGAACAUGGAGCUAAUGAGACAGAGAGAAAUGAUUGCAUUGGAGCAUGAGAGAGAAUUAGCCAUGAUGGAGCAGGAAAUGCUGGAGCGACUCAAAGCAGAAGAACUCUUGUUUCAGCAGCAGUUGGCAUUCCAGUUGGAGUUGGAAAUGCAACAAAAAGAGAAACAGAAGACAGAAGAUAUCAAGACAGGGCAAGAAAAAUCAAGUAAGGACAUGAUGAGCAUGGAGAGCACGGCUAGGGGUGAGGAGGCCAUGCAGUCAGAGGAAUCGAUGGACUCGGGCAAAACCCUAGCAGAAAUCAGCGAUCGUUAUGGGGCACCUAAUCUGAGCCGAGUGGAAGAGUUAGAUGAGCCGAUGUUAUCUGAUAACGGUGUCUCGGUGCUUCCUUGAAGCCUGGCGGCAGCACAAUUAUAACCAGAAUAGACUUAAGUUUGGUUCAAGAGAUGGGGGAGAGGGAGCCGAGAAGGAAACCAGCCUUUCUCCCCGAGCAGCUGAGCUGUUGCAUUAAACAUUGAUCAAGAUCUGUAGGACCAACCAAC